rnacentral:rRNA from 1 species
GGCUCAGAUUGAACGCUGGCGGCAGGCCUAACACAUGCAAGUCGAGCGGUAGAGAGGUGCUUGCAUCUCUUGAGAGCGGCGGACGGGUGAGUAAUGCCUAGGAAUCUGCCUAGUGGUGGGGGAUAACGUUCGGAAACGGACGCUAAUACCGCAUACGUCCUACGGGAGAAAGCGGGGGAUCUUCGGACCUCGCGCCAUUAGAUGAGCCUAGGUCGGAUUAGCUAGUUGGUGAGGUAAUGGCUCACCAAGGCGACGAUCCGUAACUGGUCUGAGAGGAUGAUCAGUCACACUGGAACUGAGACACGGUCCAGGCUCCUACGGGAGGCAGCAGUGGGGAAUAUUGGACAAUGGGCGAAAGCCUGAUCCAGCCAUGCCGCGUGUGUGAAGAAGGUCUUCGGAUUGUAAAGCACUUUAAGUUGGGAGGAAGGGUAGUAACCUAAUACGUUGCUACUUUGACGUUACCGACAGAAUAAGCACCGGCUAACUUCGUG